UACAGAGACUGCAAGCGUUAUUCGGAUUCACUGGGCGUAAAGGGUGCGCAGGCGGCCGUGUGUGUGAGGCGUGAAAGCCCGGGGCUUAACCCCGGAAUUGCACCUCAAACUAUACGGCUAGAGCAUUGGAGAGGGUAGCAGAAUUCAUGGUGUAGCAGUGAAAUGCGUAGAUAUCAUGAGGAAUACCAGAGGCGAAGGCGGCUACCUGGACAAUUGCUGACGCUCAGGCACGAAGCGUGGGGAGCAAAAGGG
rnacentral:rRNA from 1 species